AUUGAACGCUGGCGGCAGGCCUAACACAUGCAAGUCGAGCGAGCGGCGGACGGGUGAGUAAUGUAUGGGGAUCGGCCCGAGAGGGGGGGAAAAAUACUGGAAAGGGUGGCUAAUACCGCAAACUAUCGGGGGAACCAAUAUGGGAUUAGCUAGUAGGUGGGGUAAAGGCUCACCUAGGCGACGAUCUCUAGCGGGUCUGAGAGGAUGAUCAGCCACACUGGGACUGAGACACGGCCCAGACUCCUACGGGAGGCAGCAGUGGGGAAUAUUGCACAAUGGGCGCAAGCCUGAUGCAGCCAUGCCGCGUGUAUGAAGAAGGCCUUAGGGUUGUAAAGUACUUUCAGCGGGGAGGCGUUACCCGCAGAAGAAGCACCGGCUAACUCCGUGCCAGCAGCCGCGGUAAUAC
rnacentral:rRNA from 1 species